rnacentral:rRNA from 1 species
AUGGGGUGCAGCAGGCGCGAAACCUUUGCAAUGUGCGCAAGCACGACAAGGUUAAUCCGAGUGUUUCCUGUUAAAGGAAUCUUUUGUUAGUUCUAAAACCACUAUUGAAUAAGGGGUGGGCAAGUUCUGGUGUCAGCCGCCGCGGUAAAACCAGCACCUCAAGUGGUCAGGAUGAUUAUUGGGCCUAAAGCAUCCGUAGCCUGUUCUGUAAGUUUCCGGUUAAAUCCAUUAGCUCAACUAAUGGGCUGCCGAAAAUACUGCAGAACUAGGGAGUGGGAGAGGUAGACGGUACUCGGUAGGAAGGGGUAAAAUCCUUUGAUCUAUUGAUGACCACCAGUGGCGAAGGCGGUCUACCAGAACACGUUCGACGGUGAGGGAUGAAAGCUGGGGGAGCAAACCGGAUUAGAUACCCGGGUAGUCCCAGCUGUAAACGAUGCAGACUCGGUGAUGCGCUGGCUUGUGGCCAGUGCAGUGCCGCAGGGAAGCCGUUAAGUUUGCCGCCUGGGAAGUACGUACGCAAGUAUGAAACUUAAAGGAAUUGGCGGGGGAGCAC